ACUUUUCUCGAAGGAAACCCAAUAAACUCAAUCUCGAAGCUUCUUUCACCAUCGCCAAACACCAAAAAAAAACACAGAUUGAAUCUAAAGAGGAACUCAUAUCAUCUCUUUCACCAUCGACAAACACAACAUAAAAUCAUCGCCGAAUCUAAAGAAAUGGAAGGUAAAGGACUCAUAUGUGGCCUCCCCGCUAAGAACGUUGUACCAAAAAUCAGAUAACAGCCACAACAACACGCAAUCAACAUUGAUGAAGACAUUGAUCAACAAACUGAUGCGGAUGAUGAACUGAAGGAGAUAACAAGGCUAGAGUUUAGAAGGUCCUGUGCUCACCUAGGCUACUUGAUACGUAUCGAACUAGAGGAAGAAGACAUUGAUCCACUAUACAAGAAUGUUUGGAAAAAAAUGCAACAGGAUACACGCAACAACACUGGUAAUAAACGCCCAAAAGUAGAAAAAGGAGAGUCCUCAAACCGCAAGACUCUUUAAAUAAUAAUGGCAUGGUAGACCACUCUUAGAGCGAGUUCAUGUUUUUUUAGUUCAUGUGAUGUUUACAUUUUGGAAAGUUAACUUUAUGUAAUAUGAUUUGAUGAGUC